AUUGAACGCUGGCGGAAUGCUUUACACAUGCAAGUCGAACGGCAGCACGGGGGCAGCCCUGGUGGCGAGUGGCGAACGGGUGAGUAAUACAUCGGAACGUGCCCGGUCGUGGGGGAUAACGUAGCGAAAGUUACGCUAAUACCGCAUACGAUCUGAGGAUGAAAGCGGGGGACCUUCGGGCCUCGCGCGAUCGGAGCGGCCGAUGUCAGAUUAGGUAGCUGGUGGGGUAAAGGCCUACCAAGCCGACGAUCUGUAGCUGGUCUGAGAGGACGACCAGCCACACUGGGACUGAGACACGGCCCAGACUCCUACGGGAGGCAGCAGUGGGGAAUUUUGGACAAUGGGCGCAAGCCUGAUCCAGCCAUUCCGCGUGCAGGACGAAGGCCUUCGGGUUGUAAACUGCUUUUGUACGGAACGAAAAGGCUCUGGCUAAUACCUGGGGCUCAUGACGGUACCGUAAGAAUAAGCACCGGCUAACUACGUG
rnacentral:rRNA from 1 species